UACAGAGGCCACAAGCGUUAGGCGGAAUCACUGGGCUUAAAGCGUGUGUAGGUGGAUACUUAAGUGCUAAGUGAAAUCCCACGGCUCAACCGUGGAACGGCUUGGCAUACUGAGUGUCUUGAGCCAUCUAGGGGCGACUGGAACAAACGGUGGAGCGGUGAAAUGCAUAGAUAUCGUUUGGAACGCCAACGGUGAAAACAGGUCGCUGGGGAUGCGCUGACACUGAGACACGAAAGCCAGGGGAGCAAACGGG
rnacentral:rRNA from 1 species